rnacentral:rRNA from 1 species
AGCGGCGUACGGGUGCGGAACACGUGUGCAACCUGCCUUUAUCAGGGGGAUAGCCUUUCGAAAGGAAGAUUAAUACCCCAUAAUAUAUUGAAUGGCAUCAUUUGAUAUUGAAAACUCCGGUGGAUAGAGAUGGGCACGCGCAAGAUUAGAUAGUUGGUGAGGUAACGGCUCACCAAGUCUGCGAUCUUUAGGGGGCCUGAGAGGGUGAUCCCCCACACUGGUACUGAGACACGGACCAGACUCCUACGGGAGGCAGCAGUGAGGAAUAUUGGACAAUGGGUGCGAGCCUGAUCCAGCCAUCCCGCGUGAAGGACGACGGCCCUAUGGGUUGUAAACUUCUUUUGUAUAGGGAUAAACCUACCCUCGUGAGGGUAGCUGAAGGUACUAUACGAAUAAGCACCGGCUAACUCCGUGCCAGCAGCCGCGGUAAUACGGAGGGUGCAAGCGUUAUCCGGAUUUAUUGGGUUUAAAGGGUCCGUAGGCUGAUUUGUAAGUCAGUGGUGAAAUCUCACAGCUUAACUGUGAAACUGCCAUUGAUACUGCAGGUCUUGAGUGUUGUUGAAGUAGCUGGAAUAAGUAGUGUAGCGGUGAAAUGCAUAGAUAUUACUUAGAACACCAAUUGCGAAGGCAGGUUACUAAGCAACAACUGACGCUGAUGGACGAAAGCGUGGGGAGCGAACAGGAUUAGAUACCCUGGUAGUCCACGCCGUAAACGAUGCUAACUCGUUUUUGGGCUUUUGGGUUCAGAGACUAAGCGAAAGUGAUAAGUUAGCCACCUGGGGAGUACGAACGCAAGUUUGAAACUCAAAGGAAUUGACGGGGGCCCGCACAAGCGGUGGAUUAUGUGGUUUAAUUCGAUGAUACGCGAGGAACCUUACCAAGGCUUAAAUGGGAAAUGACAGGCUUAGAAAUAGGCUUUUCUUCGGACAUUUUUCAAGGUGCUGCAUGGUUGUCGUCAGCUCGUGCCGUGAGGUGUUAGGUUAAGUCCUGCAACGAGCGCAACCCCUGUCACUAGUUGCCAUCAUUAAGUUGGGGACUCUAGUGAGACUGCCUACGCAAGUAGAGAGGAAGGUGGGGAUGACGUCAAAUCAUCACGGCCCUUACGCCUUGGGCCACACACGUAAUACAAUGGCCGGUACAGAGGGCAGCUACACAGCGAUGUGAUGCAAAUCUCGAAAGCCGGUCUCAGUUCGGAUUGGAGUCUGCAACUCGA